CACACACACGCACACAUGCACACGCACACGCACACGCACGCGCCAGGUGCCAAUCCCGGGCCGGCCUCGGGCUGGACAGCUCUGUCCACCCCCUCACCUGCUGGACAGAUCUCCCCGCCUCCGCCGGAACCAGGGCCACCCGCCAGUCCGGGAAGAAUCGAGCCCAGAGCCGCAGGCUGCGCCCAGGCAGCAGCCCGCACCCCCUCGGCGGCUCGAAGCGCCCCCACGUCAAGCCCGGCCCUUCCGAGAUUUUAAUUCGGCAUGGUAGCAGAGCGCACCCCGACGAAAUGCGGGUUGAGCGGGAAGCUACUUCUCAGGACGAACUGCUCCUGACACUUCUGACCGUCCCCUCCGUCGCCCUCCCCUCUCCCUCCCCGCACUCGGCUUGGACGUGCCCAGCCGCCGAGUCUGGAAAGCGGCAGCGCGGCGGUGGAGCCUACCACUUCACGGCGGCGGGGGGGACCGAGGCCGGAAGGCGCGGCGCCGUGCCACAGACACCGGAAAAGAUGCUGAUGGCAAUGAGCAAGGCAAACUCGGCAUCAUUGAGCUGCAACUCAUUCAUGGCUCUGGAAAACUCGAAGAUGGGGUUGAUGAACUCCACUUGCAGUCCUGGGGAAGAAGGAGGGAGGCUGAGUGUGUGGCAGGAGUGGCAGGAACUUCCUUCUCUCCUCCAACUCCGCAACUUAGAGAACUUCUAGGAACUCAAUAAGAAGUAUCCAGGGCUCUGCUCUGUAACCUUGGGCAAGUUUAUUCACCUCUCUAAGCCUCAUCUAUGAGAUGGGAAUCAUAUCUGAAUUUAUAAGACUACUGUGAUGGUUAAAUGAUAAAGCAUGCACAGCACUUAACACUGUGCCUGGAACAUAGGAUGUGUGGAUUGAAUGAUAAUAAUAAUUCUGUUAUUCGUAUUAAAAUUAUUGAGGGCCCCAUUACUAGAUAUAGAAGCAACUCAUUUCUGUUUAUAAAGAAACCUCACUGGCAAUUGGCCUUACUUAUUUGAAUACUAGAGAUACAUUUUGUGUUUCAUAUCUUGGGGGAACUUAGCAAUGUGGUUGAGGGUACAGACUGUGGUGCCAGACUGCCUGGGUUUGAGUCCUGGCUCUACCAUUUACUAGGCUGAGCCUUGGUUUUCCCAUCUGUAAAAUGGAGAUAAUAGCACCUAUCAUAAUUGGUCCUUAGAAUAAUGUGUGGCACAUAUGGUAACUACUAUAUAUAUAAAUAGUAAAUUUAUAAAUAUAGAACCAAUCUUCUUGAUGGGACUGAAGUUCAACAAACCAUGACCUAAAGUCAUGGCAUCUAAAAAACACUUCUCCCAUACACACUGUCAAAGUCUCCCACCCCACACCCUCCUCCAGGCUUUCUCAGAUUUCUUUUAGCAACCAUCUGCUAACUUUUCCAUUCGAGGUUUCUUGAUUAGUCACUUCCUGUAUUUUCACCCUGAUGUUUAUCAAUGUGUGUUGAUACAUUUAAUGGACAAACCCCAUUUUAUAAAGUAUUUGUUGCUGA